rnacentral:snRNA from 1 species
GUGCUCGCUUCGACAGCAUAUAGUAUACUAAAAUUGGAACGAUAUAGAAAUUACCAUGGCCCCUGCACAAGAAUGACAAGCAAAUUCGUGAAGCGUUCCAUAUUUAA